UGAAUUUAAAUGAGUUGUUGGGUGCUCUUAGAGAAUGAGAUUUUGGCUCUUUAAAAAUAUCUUGAGCUCCACCAUGACAGUGGAAAAAGAGAAGAGAGAAUAAGUUUCGGAGACGAAGAACAAAACAAAAAAGAAUAAAUGCUAAUACGAUCAGAGGACGAAGAUUUUUAUAAGAAGUUAGGCAGUAAGAUGUCCACAAAAAAAUUUAAAUUCAAAAAAAAAA
rnacentral:lncRNA from 1 species